GGUGAAGAACGUAGCGAAAUGCGAUAAGUAAUGUGAAUUGCAGAAUUCAGUGAAUCAUCGAAUCUUUGAACGCACAUUGCGCCCGCCAGUAUUCUGGCGAGCAUGCCUGUUCGAGCGUCAUUUCAACCAUCAAGCCCCAGGCUUGUGUUGGAGCCCUGCGGCUGCCGCAGCCUCCCAAAACCAGUGGCGGGCUCGCUAUCACACCGAGUGCAGUAGUUUACUCUUCGCUCAGGGCGUGUGGCGGGUGCUAGCCGUGAAACCCCCAACUUCUCAAGGUUGACCUCGGAUCAGGUAGGAAUACCCGCUGAACUUAAGCAUAUCAAUAAGCGGAGGA
rnacentral:misc_RNA from 1 species